GACCUAACUAGUUCCUUUCACCAUGUGAGGACACAGCAAGAAGGCACCGUUCAUGAACCAGAAAAUAAGUCUCACCAGACAUCUUAAUCUGCUGGUGUUGCCGUAAGUCUACUGAGCUCUCUGGGUGUCUAACCUUGCCUUCUUGUCAUCAGCUAUUAAAACUACUAAAACAGAAGAAUGCUUAACCACUACAGCUGUUAAAACAUUAGUACGUGCUUUGCACUUCGGGUUUCAGGAUCGAGAACAUCCUGGAAAUAAGAGCGGAAGCAGAAAAGCCAGCAGAGCAGGCCAUCACAAUAGACGUGGCGUGAGAUGAUGACAAAGCUGGGGCCCAGAGAGGUGAAGUGAUUUUUUUUGUGGUCACACAGCCAGUGUGGUAUGGAACUACAACUGCAUUUCAUUUUGUCUGACCUUUGGUCCUGGGCCUUUUCAUACUACUUCUCAUUGCUGCCUCUAGCCAAUGCCAGUUUGGGAAGGAGGCAUCCAGGUGCCUGAGCAGCAACAUGCACUUGCAGGGAAGAGGAUAGAUGCAGAAUACACUGGAGGGCUGAAGACACAA
rnacentral:lncRNA from 10 species